AUACGGAGGGGGUUAGCGUUGUUCGGAAUUACUGGGCGUAAAGCGCACGUAGGCGGAUUGGAAAGUUGGGGGUGAAAUCCCAGGGCUCAACCCUGGAACUGCCUCCAAAACUAACAGUCUAGAGUUCGAGAGAGGUGAGUGGAAUUCCAAGUGUAGAGGUGAAAUUCGUAGAUAUUUGGAGGAACACCAGUGGCGAAGGCGGCUCACUGGCUCGAUACUGACGCUGAGGUGCGAAAGCGUGGGGAGCAAACCGGAUUAGAAACCCUAGUAGUCC
rnacentral:rRNA from 1 species